CAGUUUAGUAUCUUCAGGAUUUUGGGCUAGCCUAAAAAAUUUCCUACCAUUUUUUUAUGUCAUUUCCUUUGUUGAUCAUUGUGUAUCUUCGUCAUCUUCGAAAAAUUAAGAUAACUUAUUGUUUGGAAAUUUUGGGUCUCUCACACUAGGAAAGGAAGAUGGUACCCCAGAUCAUAUGCUUCCCUCCAAAAAUGUCUCAAUCCACUAUCCAGUAUAGAGGAAGGGAAUCCACUGUGAUUUGUAUGUGGGUCUCUAUGGAGUGAGAAGACAC